rnacentral:rRNA from 1 species
GACGAACGCUGGCGGCGUGCCUAAUACAUGCCAGUCGAACGCUGAAGGAGGAGCUUGCUUCUCUGGAUGAGUUGCGAACGGGUGAGUAACUCGUAGGUAACCUGCCUGUUAGCGGGGGAUAACUAUUGGAAACGAUAGCUAAUACCGCAUAAGAGUAGCUGUUGCAUGACAUUUGCUUAAAAGGUGCAAUUGCAUCACUACCAGAUGGACCUGCGUUGUAUUAGCUAGUUGGUGGGGUAACGGCUCACCAAGGCGACGAUACAUAGCCGACCUGAGUGGGAGGGAGGCCGCACUGAGACUGUGACACGGCCCAGAGGCAUCCAGGUGCGAGCCAGAGUGAAUCUUCGGGCAUGAGCGGAAGACAUACCAAACUCCGCGGCGGGAUGGUGGAAGAUUGUCGGAUCGGAAAUAACUGUUGUCAGAGAAUAACGAGUGUGAGACUGGAAAGUUCAGACUGUGACGGUAACUGACCAAAAAGCAACGGCUAACUACGUG